rnacentral:rRNA from 1 species
GACGAACGCUGGCGGCGUGCUUAACACAUGAAAGUCGAACGAAGUGGCGAACGGGUGAGUAACGCGUAAUCAAACUGCCCUUCAGAGGGGGACAAAAGUUGGAAACGACUGCUAAUACCGCAUACUGAAGGGGGGGAGUGCGACGGAUUAGCUCGUUGGAGGGGUAACGUCCCCCCGAGGCGAUGGACAGUAGCCGGUCUGAGAGGAUGAACGGCCAAAUUGGGACUGGGACACGGCCCAGACUCCUACGGGAGGCAGCAGUGGGGAAUCUGCCGCAAUGGACGAAAGUCUGACGGAGCAACGCCGCGUGAGUGAUGACGGCCUUCGGGUUGUAAAGCUCUGUUAAUCGGGACGCGGUACCGGAAUAGAAAGCCACGGCUAACUACGUGCCAGCAGCCGCGGUAAUAC